rnacentral:rRNA from 1 species
CUACGGGUCGCUCCAGUGGGGAAUAUUGCACAAUGGAGGAAACUCUGAUGCAGCAACGCCGCGUGGAGGAUGACACUUUUCGGAGCGUAAACUCCUUUUAUAUAUGAAGAUAAUGACGGUAAUAUAUGAAUAAGCACCGGCUAACUCCGUGCCAGCAGCCGCGGUAAUACGGGGGGUGCAAGCGUUACUCGGAAUCACUGGGCGUAAAGCGCAUGUAGGCGGGCAAAUAAGUUGGAAGUGAAAUCCUAUGGCUUAACCAUAGAACUGCUUCCAAAACUGUUUGCCUAGAAUGUGGGAGAGGUAGAUGGAAUUUCUGGUGUAGGGGUAAAAUCCGUAGAGAUCAGAAGGAAUACCGAUUGCGAAGGCGAUCUACUAGAACACUAUUGACGCUGAGAUGCGAAAGCGUGGGGAGCAAACAGGAUUAGAUACCCGAGUAGUC